UACGGAGGGUGCAAGCGUUAUCCGGAUUCACUGGGUUUAAAGGGUGCGUAGGCGGAUAGGUAAGUCCGUGGUGAAAUCCUGCAGCUUAACUGCAGAACUGCCAUGGAUACUAUCUAUCUUGAAUGUCGUGGAGGUUAGCGGAAUAUGUCAUGUAGCGGUGAAAAUGCUUAGAGAUGACAUAGAACACCCAUUGCGAAGGCAGCUAACUACGCGAUAAUUGACGCUGAUGCACGAAAGCGUGGGGAUCAAACAGGA
rnacentral:rRNA from 1 species